GCCAUUUUGAUUACUCUCCACUCAGGCACCAUGGAGAGAGGCCGGCGUCGCCUUCCAGCCGGGACCCUUCUCACUAGGGAGUGAGCUUCAGGGAGCUGCCCUCUGCACCCAGACAAGAGAAGCCCUUUCAACCUCCUGUUCUGACAUCAAACACCUGUCGGCUUCCUGGUCUCAGAGCCAGGUCCCGGCUGAGAGAGCGGGGAGCUCUCCCGAGGGAGGAGAGAGCAAGUGCUCCAUGCGUCAGUCCAGGAAGAGCCCUUCCAGAUUCUUCUCCCAGGACAGACGCCAGCAGGGGAGCUGGACGCAGAGGAACUCACAGCACGGCCGAGAGCUUCCAACUGCCGCACGGGUUCCAUUUAACAAGGCCACCAGCUCCGGAGCAGAUGGAAUGGUGUUGGCAGUUGUAAAACUCCCCCGCCCCACCCGGGACAAGCAGGUUAACAGAAGGGAUUGGCGCCAUUCAUGUCGUAAAAGCUCUGCAGGCCUGUCAUGUUCCGAUAAAUCUUGAUUUUGUAACGGAAUAGCGCUGUGGUUCCCAGCCUUGGGUUUCACAGCGCCAGGCAGGAAAUCCAGCCUGCAAGAGGAUAUACGAGCAUUUGCUACCUCGCCCGGAUCCGCACUGGAAUGCUGGAAGGCGACCAGCCUCCAGCCCCGUCUCCCGGCCUCGCGGACGGUUAUUAAACCGUAGGUGCUUAAAAAACACCGGUGGUUGUCCCUCUUCAGUUAGGCUCCUGGGCUCGACACCGCCUCGGGCCCCCAAGGAAGGUGCCCCUAUUUAGAAUCCGUCUAUCCACCCAACGGGGCGGCCCUUUGUCCUUCACUCGAAGGCGCCAUCUUGCUGGCGAGGACCUUGUGAGAUGUCUGCCCUGAACGCCUUCAAUUAAGGCUAGGACCCGCGAGCUCCAAGGUCCUCUGAGGCCGGCAGGCAACAUGAGUGAGUGAAGCAGGCCAGGUGAGAGAAGAUGAAUGGUGAGCGACCCACGGCCUUGAACCAGGGGGAAAAGGGAGCAUCAGUGUGGGGAUGUGCCCGCUAAGAGCUCGUGCCCCCGCGGCUGCAGGAGAGACUCGGGGCCUGCGGCGGUCAGAUCCGAUAUUUGGAAGGAAGACGAGAGUCUGGAUUUUUAGGUAAAUUCUCC
rnacentral:lncRNA from 1 species